CUUAAGUCAGAUUAUCUAAACCACUGUUGUUGUGGAUAAAACUGAGCAAGGUAAUAAUUAGUUGUUUCACAUGAAAACUGAAGUGCAGACAAAAAAAAUGCAGACCAGAUCAAGAAAAAGGCAGAUGCCUUCACUGGGCUGCAGGACUGGACGUCAGACCCGUCUCCGGCCCUCCAGGGACUCAACUCAUUCAUUGACUGCAAUUCACGGCCGGCCUCGACACAACCUACAAAGCAUCAGAAUCCAGCAGCAAUGGAAGAUAUUUGUCCAUGAGUCAAAAUGAUUACUCUUUGGUUCUGCGUGGUUCAACCUUGCUGAAGACAAUAACAUUCCACCCAGGAGACAACCAAAUCCUCAUCAC
ensembl:lncRNA